rnacentral:rRNA from 1 species
UACGGGGGGGCAAGCGUUGUUCGGAAUUACUGGGCGUAAAGAGCUCGUAGGUGGUUGUCGCGUUGUUCGUGAAAACUCACGGCUCAACUGUGGCGUGCGGCGAUACGGGCAGACUUGAGUACUGCAGGGGAGACUGGAAUUCCUGGUGUAGCGGUGAAAUGCGCAGAUAUCAGGAAGAACACCCGUGGCGAAGGCGGCUCUCUGGAACGCAACUGACGCUGAGACGCGAAAGCGUGGGGAGCAAACAGG